UCCCGGUUCGCCGGGGGACUGAAUGGCGCAAGGGUGAGUAGCGCGUGGGAACCUGCCCUGUUGUGGGGGAUAACCGAGGGAAACCUCGGCUAAUACCGCAUGAGCCGGGUGUCUUGAGAGAGGCAUCCGGGAAAGAUUUAUCGCGACAGGAGGGGCCCGCGUCGGAUUAGCUGGUUGGUGGGGUAACGGCCUACCAAGGCGAUGAUCCGUAGCUGGUCUGAGAGGAUGAUCAGCCACACUGGGACUGAGACACGGCCCAGACUCCUACGGGAGGCAGCAGUGGGGAAUAUUGGACAAUGGGCGCAAGCCUGAUCCAGCAAUGCCGCGUGAGUGAGGAAGGCCUUAGGGUUGUAAAGCUCUUUCACCCGCGACGAUGAUGACGGUAGCGGGAGAAGAAGCCCCGGCUAACUUCGUGCCAGCAGCCGCGGUAAUACGAAGGGGGCGAGCGUUGUUCGGAUUUACUGGGCGUAAAGGGCGCGCAGGCGGCUACAUUUGUCAGGCGUGAAAGCCCCGGGCUUAACCUGGGAACUGCGUUUGAUACGGUGUGGCUAGAGUUCGGGAGAGGAGAGUGGAAUUCCCAGUGUAGAGGUGAAAUUGGUAGAUAUUGGGAAGAACACCGGUGGCGAAGGCGGCUCUCUGGACCUAGACUGACGCUGAGGCGCGAAAGCGUGGGGAGCAAACAGGAUUAGAUACCCUGGUAGUCCACGCUGUAAACCAUGUGUGCUAGACGUUGGGGAGCCUAGCUGUUCGGUGUCGCAGCUAACGCGGUAAG
rnacentral:rRNA from 1 species